AACUAACGCUGGCGGCGUGCCUAACACAUGCAAGUCGUACGAGAAAGUUGGCUUCGGCCGAUGAGUACAGUGGCGCACGGGUGAGUAACGCGUGGAUAAUCUGCCCUUAAGUGUGGAAUAACGUACCGAAAGGUGCGCUAAUACCGCAUAAUGCCUGGCAACAUAAGUUGUCCGGCCAAAGAAGGCCUCUGCUUGCAAGCUUUCGCUAAAGGAUGAGUCCGCGUACCAUUAGCUAGUUGGUGGGGUAACGGCCUACCAAGGCGACGAUGGUUAGCUGGUCUGAGAGGAUGAUCAGCCACACUGGAACUGAGACACGGUCCAGACUCCUACGGGAGGCAGCAGUGAGGAAUAUUGCGCAAUGGGGGCAACCCUGACGGAGCGACGCCGCGUGUGGGAUGAAGUCUUUCGGGAUGUAAACCAUUUUCGCUGGGAAAGAAGGUCUCAGUCGUGAACUGAGAAUUGACGGUACCGGUAAAGAAGCCCGGCUAACUCCGUGCC
rnacentral:rRNA from 1 species